rnacentral:rRNA from 1 species
UACGUAGGGUGCAAGCGUUGUCCGGAAUCAUUGGGCGUAAAGAGCUCGUAGGCGGUCUGUCGCGUCUGCUGUGAAAACUCAGGGCUUAACCCUGAGCUUGCAGUGGGUACGGGCAGACUAGAGUGCGGUAGGGGAGACUGGAAUUCCUGGUGUAGCGGUGAAAUGCGCAGAUAUCAGGAGGAACACCGGUGGCGAAGGCGGGUCUCUGGGCCGUAACUGACGCUGGAGGAGCGGAAA